GACGAACGCUGGCGGCGUGCUUAACACAUGCAAGUCGAACGGAAAGGCCCUGCUUUUGUGGGGUGCUCGAGUGGCGAACGGGUGAGUAACAUGUGAGUAACCUUCCCUUGACUUUGUGAUAACUUCAGGAAACUGGGGCUAAUACCGGCUACGAGCUCCUGCUGCAUGGUGGUGGUUGGAAAGUAUAGGCGGUUGUGGAUGGACUCGGGGCUUAUCAGCUUGUUGGUGGGGUAGUGGCUUACCAAGGCUUUGACGGGUGGCCGGAAUGAGAGGGUUACCGGGCACAUUGGGACUGAGAUACGGAGCAGAAUCGUACGGGAGGCAGCAGGGGGGAAUAUUGUACAGUGGGGGGAAGCCUGAUGAAACAAUGCCGCGUGCGGGAUGAAGGCCAUGGGGUUGUAAACCGCUUUCGCCUGUGACGAAGCGGGAGUGACGGUAAUGGGUAAAGAAGCACCGGCUAACUACGUG
rnacentral:rRNA from 1 species